rnacentral:rRNA from 1 species
UACAGAGGUCCCAAGCGUUGUUCGGAAUUACUGGGCGUAAAGCGCACGUAGGCGGCUUUGUAAGUUAGAGGUGAAAGCCCAGGGCUUAACCCUGGAAUUGCCUUUAAGACUGCAUCGCUAGAAUCGUGGAGAGGUGAGUGGAAUUCCGAGUGUAGAGGUGAAAUUCGUAGAUAUUCGGAAGAACACCAGUGGCGAAGGCGACUCACUGGACACGUAUUGACGCUCAUGCACGAAAGCGUGGGGAGCAAACAGG